rnacentral:rRNA from 1 species
AUACCGGAUAUGACCACAGCAUGCAUGUGUUGUGGUGGAAAGAUUUAUCGGUGCAGGAUGGGCCCGCGGCCUAUCAGCUUGUUGGUGGGGUAAUGGCCUACCAAGGCGACGACGGGUAGCCGACCUGAGAGGGUGACCGGCCACACUGGGACUGAGACACGGCCCAGACUCCUACGGGAGGCAGCAGUGGGGAAUAUUGCACAAUGGGCGGAAGCCUGAUGCAGCGACGCCGCGUGAGGGAUGAAGGCCUUCGGGUUGUAAACCUCUUUCAGCAGGGACGAAGCGUGAGUGACGGUACCUGCAGAAGAAGCACCGGCUAACUACGUGCCAGCAGCCGCGGUAAUACGUAGGGUGCGAGCGUUGUCCGGAAUUACUGGGCGUAAAGAGUUCGUAGGCGGUUUGUCGCGUCGUUUGUGAAAACCCGGGGCUCAACUUCGGGCUUGCAGGCGAUACGGGCAGACUUGAGUGUUUCAGGGGAGACUGGAAUUCCUGGUGUAGCGGUGAAAUGCGCAGAUAUCAGGAGGAACACCGGUGGCGAAGGCGGGUCUCUGGGAAACAACUGACGCUGAGGAACGAAAGCGUGGGUAGCAAAGGGAUUA